AACCGUUCCGCAAAGUAGAAAGCGUUCAAGCGAAAUGAGCGCACCCCAGAAUUAACCAUUGUUGGCAAGCAAUAAUUAUUUCAGAACAACUUUGACUGAAUUAUUAUCCUUACACUUUCAAAAAUACUAGUCGAAUAAGACAUGGGAGAGAUUUAUUAAAUCCGCUACAAAAAUCAGUAGCGGAAUGUAGGCUAAACAGACAAAGGAGCAAAGAGCAGAAAUCUGAAGUAGCAAGCAAGUCGCAGCAAUGAAGAACCCGAAGGGGGGAGAAUUCUGGCUGGGGGAGAUUUUCGGCACAACACCGGAAAGCCAUGCUUUGUUAGUGAGUGGCCACAAAGCUAGCUACAAUGAAGCAUGUGGGGCAUCGUAGGUGGCUCGUUUCAGCUAGUUGUAUCUUGUUCUUCAUAACUUGUCUUGUUUUGACUGAUUUCAUGUCAAUGCUAGCUAACUAACCAACACUGUAACGAUGUAUUUGAGAGACAAGUGUUCAUUGUGCACAUUUAUUUUUUGUUUUCAAUAAACAUUAGGAGACGAGAUAUAGUUUACACGUUGUCAAUAAUAUAAGCCUGAAUUGACCCAUUGACCCAUUGUUGCGCACGCGUCGGUAUUAGAAACAGCUCCUUUAGAAAGUCAGUUUGACGCAAAUAAAAAGUUCAAAGGAGGAAAUAGGAAGUCAGUCUCGAAUGUCAACACACCAAACAAAGCACAAAGAAGAGGAACUGACAGAAAAUUUAAGACGUUUAAGACAAUGGCGGGUAUUAAAGCACUGGUUGGGUUGUCCUUCAGUGGAGCCAUUGGCUUGACAUUCCUCCUGUUGAGCUGUGCCUUGGAGCAAUAUGGGGUGUACUGGCCCCUCUUCGUCCUUUUCUUCUAUGUACUCGCUCCUAUCCCCACCUUUAUAUCCAGAAGGCUCAGUGAUGACAGUGAUGUGGCCAGCAACGCAUGCAGAGAGCUGGCAUACUUCUUGACUACGGGAAUUGUGGUAUCUGCGUUCGCGCUUCCCAUCAUAAUGGCCCGACGUGCAGUAAUCCAGUUGGGGGCCUGUGGCCUGGUGAUGGCCGGCAACGUUGUCAUCUUCCUCACCAUCCUUGGCUUCUUCCUGGGGUUUGGAGGGGGAGACGACUUCAGCUAGGAGCAGUAUAGACCGUCUGUGAAUCUCUGGCCAAACAGAGCCACAAUCCCAAAUGGACCCCUAGACCCUAUGCACUUGUGGAGAUCUGAGAGGAUUUGACAGGUGUAAGUAAUAUGGUAAUAGCUCCAUCUUGCCCUCUGAUAGGCUUGCUAAGUGGAAGUUUCACCAUAUUGCUUAUACCAGUCAAAUCUUCUCUGAUCUCCACAAGUGCAUGCGGUGUAGGAUCCAGGGGUCGAUUUGAGAUUAGGCAAUGUGAAGACUGGAUAGGUAUAAGCAUGUGGUGAAAUAUCACCAAGGGAAGAGUGGUUGUUUCUGGACAGGACCCACCUCUCUACAAUUGUAAUUGUAAGUAAGGAGUAUUCUGUUUGAAAAUGUAUCUUGCUUAUUUUAAGUAUAAUCAUUUCAAAUGAUCUACCCAUACUCAUUCUUGCAGUUGAUUACAUGUGUACUUUUGUUUAUGGUUGUAUGUGUUUAUCCAUAUCUAUUUUAUAUGAUUUUUGGGUAUGACUAGAUAAUCAGGUCAAGGUGUAGUCCACGUUUUUGUAGUUUGUCAUUUUAAACAUUUAGCUCCAAGACAAAAAAAAGCCUUAUUCUAGGCCUUGAUGCAAAUGUUUACAGUAACACCAAACGACAGUUAAGAAAAUAAGUUAGACACGAGUCACCCACCAUGGUUUCUGACGAGUGUCUAUGAUUAUUAAACGCAUUAUUAAUUCCAAUUGAGUAAUUAUGUUACACCCUUAUUAUUAAGUUAACAAAUGUAUUUUUGAAUUACAUGUGUUUAAUAUGUUUAUCUUCACUGAGGACAGAAGCCAAAAUGGGGUUUUGUGAACCAUGGGCUACAUUGGUACAGUAGAUGAAUGGUGAGUUUUCACACGGAAUGUUAAUACUAUACAUUUAGCUGUUUUUUGUUCUAACGAAGUGCCCACUUUUCUGUUCACCCAAAAGUGCCUAGUAAAAUGUACUAUUUUUACUGAUUCAAAAAGUUUGAGUCACUUUUUACAUUCUAUAUUGGUAUAGCCUUCUGAGAGCCCAUAGUGCAUUCUAGAAUUAUGUUUUGAAAUAUUCCAAUUAAUAACCGAAUGUAACAACACCACUUCAUACUGAUUUAAUGUUGCUAGAAG